rfam:Ictidomys tridecemlineatus contig037391, whole genome shotgun sequence.
UGGGGUGUGGCUAAGUGGUAUAGCACAUGCCUAGCAUGUAUAAUGCUCCGGGUUCAAUUCUUGGCACUUCAA